GGCGUGAUGGCAGAGUGGUCUAAUGCGCAAGACUUGAAAUCUUGUUCCCUAGGGAGCGCAGGUUCGAACCCUGCUCACGUCG